rnacentral:rRNA from 1 species
UACGUAGGCAGCAAGCGUUGUUCGGAAUUACUGGGCGUAAAGAGUGUGUAGGCGGUGUUCUAAGUCUGUUGUGAAAUCUCCCGGCUUAACUGGGAGGGUGCGGCGGAAACUGGAAUGCUAGAGGAUGGGAGAGGUAAGCGGAAUUCCUGGUGUAGCGGUGAAAUGCGUAGAUAUCAGGAGGAACACCUGUGGUGUAGACAGCUUACUGGACCAUUUCCGACGCUGAGACACGAAAGCGUGGGUAGCAAACAGG